CUGGCCUCGAAAAAAUCUCAACUCAUUUAGAAGCGUGUUCACCUAUAACUUGCGUGUUUCGGGACCCAUUCACAUUAGCGACCCACCUUCGAGCACUGCAUUGCGAGCGAGCAUUGCACUCGUUUAUAACGCGGCAAAAGUGCCAUGUGCUACUUCGGCAGAUCUCUAACCAGGACCAAAGGCGAAAGAAUAGAGACGUUUUUUUCGCCAGGACGUGCGAGCCAAAUCUAAGUGCGAGCCAAAGUUAAAUAUGCCACGUGAUGGCUUACAGAGAAGAAAUAGUUUUCAAAUUGUUUUAACAACUAAGCAAAGGAAGAACACAACGAGAAAACAUUAAAAAAAAGUCAGACUCUACUUUUUCGUGAAUCUAACGUAUUGCUGCGCUCCUUUGAACGAUUAUUUAAAAUUGGAUUUACGGUAUUCUCACCAGGCAUACCUGUAUUAUCUUGUGCAAGUUUCAAAUCAAUAUUUUUUUGUAAUGUACGUAAGGCAGAAUAUCUUGCGAGUGAGAUUAGCGUUAUAAAUCUAGACUGUGCUAACAGAA